rnacentral:tRNA from 1 species
UCUUAGAUGACUGAGAUAUAAGUGUUAGAUUUUUAAUCUAAAAACGGCAAUAUUUGUGCCUCUAAGAG